rnacentral:rRNA from 1 species
GACGAACGCUGGCGGCGUGCUUAACACAUGCAAGUCGAACGGAAAGGCCCUGCUUUUGUGGGGUGCUCGAGUGGCGAACGGGUGAGUAACACGUGAGUAACCUGCCCUUGACUUUGUGAUAACUUCAGGAAACUGGGGCUAAUACCGGAUAGGAGCUCCUGCUGCAUGGUGGGGGUUGGAAAGUUUCGGCGGUUGUGGAUGGACUCGCGGCUUAUCAGCCUGUUUGUGGGGUAGUGGCUUACCAAGGCUUUGACGGGUAGCCGGCCUGAGAGGGUGACCGGCCACAAUGGGACUGAGAUACGGACCAGACUCGUACGGGAGGCAGCAGUGGGGAAUAUUGCACAAUGGGCGGAAGCGUGAUGCAGCAACGCCGCGUGCGGGAUGACGGCCUUCGGGUUGUAAACCGCUUUCGACUGUGACGAAGCGGGAGUGACGGUAAUGGGUAAAGAAGCACCGGCUAACUACGUG